UACGUAGGGCGCAAGCGUUGUCCGGAAUUAUUGGGCGUAAAGGGCUCGUAGGCGGUUUGCCGCGUCGGGGAGUGAAAACUCAGGGCUCAACCCUGAGCGUGCUUCCGAUACGGGCAGACUAGAGGUAUGCAGGGGAGAACGGAAUUCCUGGUGUAGCGGUGGAAUGCGCAGAUAUCAGGAGGAACACCGGUGGCGAAGGCGGUUCUCUGGGCAUUACCUGACGCUGAGGAGCGAAAGCAUGGGGGAGCGAACAGG
rnacentral:rRNA from 1 species